rnacentral:rRNA from 1 species
AGGAAUAUUGGUCAAUGGGCGAGAGCCUGAACCAGCCAAGUAGCGUGAAGGAUGACGGCCCUACGGGUUGUAAACUUCUUUUAUACGGGAAUAAAGUAUCCUACGUGUAGGAUUUUGUAUGUACCGUAUGAAUAAGCAUCGGCUAACUCCGUGCCAGCAGCCGCGGUAAUACGGAGGAUGCGAGCGUUAUCCGGAUUUAUUGGGUUUAAAGGGAGCGCAGACGGGAGAUUAAGCCAGUUGUGAAAGUUUGCGGCUCAACCGUAAAAUUGCAGUUGAUACUGGUUUCCUUGAGUGCAGUUGAGGCAGGCGGAAUUCGUGGUGUAGCGGUGAAAUGCUUAGAUAUCACGAAGAACCCCGAUUGCGAAGGCAGCUUGCUAAACUGUAACUGACGUUCAUGCUCGAAAGUGUGGGUAUCAAACAGGAUUAGAUACCCUGGUAGUCCACACGGUAAACGAUGGAUACUCGCUGUUGGCGAUAUACUGUCAGCGGCCAAGCGAAAGCAUUAAGUAUCCCACCUGGGGAGUACGCCGGCAACGGUGAAACUCAAAGGAAUUGACGGGGGCCCGCACAAGCGGAGGAACAUGUGGUUUAAUUCGAUGAUACGCGAGGAACCUUACCCGGGCUUAAAUUGCAGACGAAUUACGAGGAAACUUGUAAGCCGCAAGGCGUCUGUGAAGGUGCUGCAUGGUUGUCGUCAGCUCGUGCCGUGAGGUGUCGGCUUAAGUGCCAUAACGAGCGCAACCCUCGUGGUCAGUUACUAACAGGUUAAGCUGAGGACUCUGGCCAGACUGCCAUCGUAAGAUGUGAGGAAGGUGGGGAUGACGUCAAAUCAGCACGGCCCUUACGUCCGGGGCUACACACGUGUUACAAUGGGAGGUACAGAAGGCAGCUACCCGGCGACGGGAUGCCAAUCCCCAAAACCUCUCUCAGUUCGGACUGGAGUCUGCAACCCGACUCCACGAAGCUGGAUUCGCUAGUAAUCGCGCAUCAGCCACGGCGCGGUGAAUACGUUCCCG